AUGUAUUUAUUUUCUGUUAAUAACUUUAAUUCCUGCACUUACCACUUUAAACCCAUUCAAACCCAAACUGAAGAGCGCGAGAAAUUAUCAAAUGACAGUAGCACUAAUCCCUGUAGAGACGAUAUGAUAAAAAUAAAUAAAUACUUACUUUUUCCCACCGCUUUACCACUUCAGGAACAAGCUAAAGAGAAUAACCAUCGGCGGGAGAGAGAGAGAGAGGGUGCAUCAUUGCUAUGCUUAAGAAUUCCAUCAAUAUCCUUAAAAAUACCCAUGUUCUUCAAACAAUUUCCAUUACUAAUCAAGUCUUUUUAUCCAUCUUCUUUGAUGGUUCCCAAUGCACAUUGA